GGGUUGUGAGGUUAAGCGACUAAGCGUACACGGUGGAUGCCCUGGCAGUCAGAGGCGAUGAAGGACGUGCUAAUCUGCGAAAAGCGUCGGUAAGGUGAUAUGAACCGUUAUAACCGGCGAUGUCCGAAUGGGGAAACCCAGUGCAAUUCGUUGCACUAUCGUUAACUGAAUACAUAGGUUAACGAGGCGAACCGGGGGAACUGAAACAUCUAAGUACCCCGAGGAAAAGAAAUCAACCGAGAUUCCCCCAGUAGCGGCGAGCGAACGGGGAGCAGCCCAGAGUCUGAAUCAGCUUGUGUGUUAGUGGAACGGUCUGGAAAGUCCGACGGUACAGGGUGAUAGUCCCGUACACCAAAAUGCACAGGUUGUGAACUCGAAGAGUAGGGCGGGACACGUGGUAUCCUGUCUGAAUAUGGGGGGACCAUCCUCCAAGGCUAAAUACUCCUGACUGACCGAUAGUGAACCAGUACCGUGAGGGAAAGGCGAAAAGAACCCCGGCGAGGGGAGUGAAAAAGAACCUGAAACCGUGUACGUACAAGCAGUGGGAGCACCUUCGGGUGUGACUGCGUACCUUUUGUAUAAUGGGUCAGCGACUUAUAUUCUGUAGCAAGGUUAACCGUAUAGGGGAGCCGCAGGGAAACCGAGUCUUAACUGGGCGUUAAGUUGCAGGGUAUAGACCCGAAACCCGGUGAUCUAGCCAUGGGCAGGUUGAAGGUUGGGUAACACUAACUGGAGGACCGAACCGACUAAUGUUGAAAAAUUAGCGGAUGACUUGUGGCUGGGGGUGAAAGGCCAAUCAAACCGGGAGAUAGCUGGUUCUCCCCGAAAGCUAUUUAGGUAGCGCCUCGUGAACUCAUCUUCGGGGUAGAGCACUGUUUCGGCUAGGGGGUCAUCCCGACUUACCAACCCGAUGCAAACUACGAAUACCGAAGAAUGUUAUCACGGGAGACACACGGCGGGUGCUAACGUCCGUCGUGAAGAGGGAAACAACCCAGACCGCCAGCUAAGGUCCCAAAGUCAUGGUUAAGUGGGAAACGAUGUGGGAAGGCACAGACAGCCAGGAUGUUGGCUUAGAAGCAGCCAUCAUUUAAAGAAAGCGUAAUAGCUCACUGGUCGAGUCGGCCUGCGCGGAAGAUGUAACGGGGCUAAACCAUGCACCGAAGCUGCGGCAGCGACACUAUGUGUUGUUGGGUAGGGGAGCGUUCUGUAAGCCUGCGAAGGUGACCUGUGAGGGUUGCUGGAGGUAUCAGAAGUGCGAAUGCUGACAUAAGUAACGAUAAAGCGGGUGAAAAGCCCGCUCGCCGGAAGACCAAGGGUUCCUGUCCAACGUUAAUCGGGGCAGGGUGAGUCGACCCCUAAGGCGAGGCCGAAAGGCGUAGUCGAUGGGAAACAGGUUAAUAUUCCUGUACUUGGUGUUACUGCGAAGGGGGGACGGAGAAGGCUAUGUUAGCCGGGCGACGGUUGUCCCGGUUUAAGCAUGUAGGCUGGUUGUCCAGGCAAAUCCGGAUAAUCAAGGCUGAGGUGUGAUGACGAGGCACUACGGUGCUGAAGUAACAAAUGCCCUGCUUCCAGGAAAAGCCUCUAAGCAUCAGGUAACAUCAAAUCGUACCCCAAACCGACACAGGUGGUCAGGUAGAGAAUACCAAGGCGCUUGAGAGAACUCGGGUGAAGGAACUAGGCAAAAUGGUGCCGUAACUUCGGGAGAAGGCACGCUGGUGUGUAGGUGAAGUCCCUGCGGAUGGAGCUGAGACCAGUCGAAGAUACCAGCUGGCUGCAACUGUUUAUUAAAAACACAGCACUGUGCAAACACGAAAGUGGACGUAUACGGUGUGACGCCUGCCCGGUGCCGGAAGGUUAAUUGAUGGGGUUAUCCGUAAGGAGAAGCUCUUGAUCGAAGCCCCGGUAAACGGCGGCCGUAACUAUAACGGUCCUAAGGUAGCGAAAUUCCUUGUCGGGUAAGUUCCGACCUGCACGAAUGGCGUAAUGAUGGCCAGGCUGUCUCCACCCGAGACUCAGUGAAAUUGAACUCGCUGUGAAGAUGCAGUGUACCCGCGGCAAGACGGAAAGACCCCGUGAACCUUUACUAUAGCUUGACACUGAACAUUGAGCCUUGAUGUGUAGGAUAGGUGGGAGGCUUUGAAGCGUGGACGCCAGUCUGCGUGGAGCCAACCUUGAAAUACCACCCUUUAAUGUUUGAUGUUCUAACGUUGGCCCCUUACCGGGGUUGCGGACAGUGUCUGGUGGGUAGUUUGACUGGGGCGGUCUCCUCCCAAAGCGUAACGGAGGAGCACGAAGGUUAGCUAAUCCUGGUCGGACAUCAGGAGGUUAGUGCAAUGGCAUAAGCUAGCUUGACUGCGAGCGUGACGGCGCGAGCAGGUGCGAAAGCAGGUCAUAGUGAUCCGGUGGUUCUGAAUGGAAGGGCCAUCGCUCAACGGAUAAAAGGUACUCCGGGGAUAACAGGCUGAUACCGCCCAAGAGUUCAUAUCGACGGCGGUGUUUGGCACCUCGAUGUCGGCUCAUCACAUCCUGGGGCUGAAGUAGGUCCCAAGGGUAUGGCUGUUCGCCAUUUAAAGUGGUACGCGAGCUGGGUUUAGAACGUCGUGAGACAGUUCGGUCCCUAUCUGCCGUGGGCGCUGGAGAAUUGAGGGGGGCUGCUCCUAGUACGAGAGGACCGGAGUGGACGCAUCACUGGUGUUCGGGUUGUCAUGCCAAUGGCACUGCCCGGUAGCUAAAUGCGGAAGAGAUAAGUGCUGAAAGCAUCUAAGCACGAAACUUGCCCCGAGAUGAGUUCUCCCUGAGACUUUAAGUCUCCUGAAGGAACGUUGAAGACGACGACGUUGAUAGGCCGGGUGUGUAAGCGCAGCGAUGCGUUGAGCUAACCGGUACUAAUGAACCGUGAGGCUUAACCUUACAACGCCGAAG
rnacentral:rRNA from 1 species